rnacentral:rRNA from 1 species
UAUUCUUACGGUACCGUCAAAUCACUACGCAUAGUGACAUUUCUUCCCGUACAAAAGCAGUUUACAACCCAUAGGGCAGUCUUCCUGCACGCGGCAUGGCUGGUUCAGGGUUGCCCCCAUUGACCAAUAUUCCCUACUGCUGCCUCCCGUAG